CCCUUAGAUGUUCUGGGCCGCACGCGUGCUACACUGAACGGUUCAAUGGGUGAGGUAGUGCGAAAGCAUAACCUAAUCUCGAAAUCCGUUCGUGCUGGGGAUAGAAGCUUGCAAUUAUCCUUCUUGAACGAGGAAUACCUUGUAGGCGUGAGUCAUCAUCUCGCGCCGAAUACGUCCCUGCCCUUUGUACACACCGCCCGUCGCUCCUACCGAUUGAGUGUUCCGGUGAGGCUUUGGGAGAGCUGGGUGGAUUGUGUUUCACGAACUGCUCGGUUUGAACUUAGUCAAACCUUAUCACUUAGAGGAAGGAGAAGUCGUAACA
rnacentral:rRNA from 1 species